rnacentral:rRNA from 1 species
CUACGGGACGCUGCAGUGGGGAAUAUUGCACAAUGGAGGAAACUCUGAUGCAGCAACGCCGCGUGGAGGAUGACACUUUUCGGAGCGUAAACUCCUUUUAUAUAGGAAGAAGAUGACGGUACUAUAUGAAUAAGCGCCGGCUAACUCCGUGCCAGCAGCCGCGGUAAUACGGAGGGCGCAAGCGUUACUCGGAAUCACUGGGCGUAAAGAGCGUGUAGGCGGAUUAAAAAGUCAGAAGUGAAAUCCUAUAGCUUAACUAUAGAACUGCUUCUGAAACUCUUAAUCUAGAAUAUGGGUGAGGUAGAUGGAAUUCCUGGUGUAGGGGUAAAAUCCGUAGAGAUCAGAAGGAAUACCGAUUGCGAAGGCGAUCUACUAGAACAUUAUUGACGCUGAGACGCGAAAGCGUGGGGAGCAAACAGGAUUAGAUACCCGCGUAGUC